GACGAACGCUGGCGGCGUGCCUAACACAUGCAAGUCGAACGGAGAGAUACGAGAGCUUGCUCUUGUAAAUCUUAGUGGCAAACGGGUGAGUAACGCGUAAACAACCUGCCCAACGGAUGGGGACAACAGACGGAAACGACUGCUAAUACCCAAUAGACUCCGGUUUCGCAUGAAACCGACAGGAAAGGUGGCCUCUCGAAGAAGCUACCGCCGCAGGAGGGGUUUGCGUUUGAUUAGUUAGUUGGUGGGGUAACGGCCUACCAAGACGAUGAUCAAUAGCCGGUCUGAGAGGAUGAACGGCCACACUGGAACUGAGACACGGUCCAGACUCCUACGGGAGGCAGCAGUGGGGAAUCUUCCGCAAUGGACGAAAGUCUGACGGAGCAACGCCGCGUGAGUGAAGAAGGCCUUCGGGUUGUAAAGCUCUGUUAUUCGGGAAGAACGAUUCGUUUGUAAAUAAUGAACGGAAGUGACGGUACCGAAAGAGAAAGCCACGGCUAACUACGUGCCAGCAGCCGCGGUAA
rnacentral:rRNA from 1 species